rnacentral:rRNA from 1 species
GAUGAGCGCUAGCGGCAGGCUUAACACAUGCAAGUCGAGGGGCAGCGUAGAUUGCUUGCAAUCUGACGGCGACCGGCGAACGGGUGCGUAACGCGUGGGAACGUGCCUUUCUCUACGGAAUAGCCUCGGGAAACUGAGAUUAAUACCGUAUACGCCCUUAGGGGGAGAGAUUUAUCGGAGAGAGAUCGGCCCGCGUUGGAUUAGGUAGUUGGUGGGGUAACGGCCUACCAAGCCGACGAUCCAUAGCUGGUUUGAGAGGAUGAUCAGCCACACUGGGACUGAGACACGGCCCAG